rnacentral:rRNA from 1 species
UACAGAGGUCCCAAGCGUUGUUCGGAUUUACUGGGCGUAAAGGGUGCGUAGGUGGCGGUGUAAGUCGGAUGUGAAAUCUCCGAGCUCAACUCGGAAACUGCAUUGGAAACUACAUUGCUCGAGGGUUGGAGGGGGGACUGGAAUACUUGGUGUAGCAGUGAAAUGCGUAGAUAUCAAGUGGAACACCAGUGGCGAAGGCGAGUCCCUGGACAACUCCUGACACUGAAGCACGAAAGCUAGGGGAGCAAACAGGAUUAGAAACCCCAAGUAGUCC